rnacentral:rRNA from 1 species
GUGCUUACACAUGCAAGUCGAACGAUGAUGCUGGAGCUUGCUCCAGUUGAUUAGUGGCGAACGGGUGAGUAACACGUGAGCAAUCUGCCCUUGACUCUGGGAUAACUGCGGGAAACUGUAGCUAAUACCGGAUACUUUCACCGGAAGGCAUCUUCUGGUGAUGAAAGAAUUUCGGUCAGGGAUGAGCUCGCGGCCUAUCAGCUUGUUGGUGAGGUAACGGCUCACCAAGGCGACGACGGGUAACCGGCCUGAGAGGGUGACCGGUCACACUGGGACUGAGACACGGCCCAGACUCCUACGGGAGGCAGCAGUAGGGAAUAUUGGGCAAUGGAGGCAACUCUGACCCAGCCACGCCGCGUGCAGGAGGAAGGCGCUCUGCGUUGUAAACUGCUUUAGCAGGGGAAGAAAAAGGCCAUGCGUGGCAAAUUGACGGUACCCUGAGAAUAAGCACCGGCUAACUACGUGCCAGCAGCCGCGGUAAUACGUAGGGUGCAAGCGUUGUCCGGAUUUAUUGGGUUUAAAGGGUGCGUAGGCGGUCUAUUAAGUCAGUGUUUAAAUUUUGCAGCUUAACUGUAGGUAUGGCAUUGAUACUGAUGGACUUGAAUAUUAGAGAGGUAGCUGGAAUUUAUGGUGUAGCGGUGAAAUGCAUAGAUACCAUAAGGAACACCGAUAGCGGAGGCAUGUUACCAUCUGGUUAUUGACGCUGAGGCACGAAAGUGUGGGGAUCAAACAGGAUUAGAUACCCUGGUAGUCCACACUGUAAACGAUGAUUACUAGAUGCUGGGCAGUUGUGUUCAGUGUUCAAGCGAAAGCGAUAAGUAAUCCACCUGGGGAGUACGACCGCAAGGUUGAAACUCAAAUGAAUUGACGGA